rnacentral:rRNA from 1 species
GCCUUAGAUGUUCUGGGCCGCACGCGUGCUACACUGAGUGGAUCAGCGGGUCAGGUUGCGCGAAAGUGUUUCCUAAUCUUGAAAUCCGCUCGUGAUGGGGAUUGACGGUUGCAAUUUUCCGUCAUGAACGAGGAAUACCUUGUAAGCGCGGGUCAUCAUCCCGCGCUGAAUACGUCCCUGCCCUUUGUACACACCGCCCGUCGCUCCUACCGAUUGAGUGGUCCGGUGAGGCUUUGGGAUCUGAGCGGAAAGAGCGUUUCGCUGUUUCUGCUCGGAAAACUCAGUCGAACCUUAUCAUUUAGAGGAAGGAGAAGUCGUAACA